ACCUAUAGCUACGGAGGAACGCAUCGUUGACAAAAAUGGAACCGAGUUCCACUAAGAGUAGUUAACAUGAAAUGAAACCCCGUGGUUAGCUAAUGAAUAUGUUCCCUAUAUACAUGAGAGAAACUUCAACUUACAAAAAGAGGAGGAGGAGGUGGUGCUGGCGGGGAUUGGUGGGUUCCAUAUUGCUGCUAACAUUGGCUUUUAAUAUUAUGAAUCGCACACGUGGUUGAGAAUUCCCGAGGUAGCAACAAAAGAGAUGGGUUUGAUGGAGGAAGAUCCUAAAAUAACCGGAUUCACAGUUAUCAAUGGCGAUCUCCUAAUUUUGGCAACUGAAACAAGAGUCUACAGAAGGUUUGACUGAUGAUGAAAACUAUAUAAGGGUUGAGGAAAUAUGCCAACACAGAUACGAAUCCAAAGUUUGCUUUACUUCCUACUCAGAUAGUCUUCGUCUCUGUGGACCAGGGGCUACAUGUUUGCCUUGUUAAGCUUCUUGUUGUCAAAGAAAUUGAUUAUCGAUAUGAGCAUACAGAUUCAACUGUACUUUCUUCAAGUUCCUAUUGCUGCUGAUGAUUCUCCAAGUAUUAGCUGGAAGCCUCCUCCGAUUGGUGUGGUGUGUACAAGCUCAAUUGUGACGGUUCAGUCGAAAAGCAUUUGAAUAAAGCCGCUGUUGGAGGGAUUCUGCGAAAUGAUUCUGGGCAUGUUGUCUUUGCAUUUUCGGCUUAAUAUUUGUUUUUGCUGUGUUAAGAGCUGAACUUUGGGAUAUCCUUAACUGGUUUUUGCAUUUCGUUCUUUCAAAA